rnacentral:tRNA from 3 species
AGGCUUGUAGCUCAGGUGGUUAGAGCACACCCCUGAUAAGGGUGAGGUCGGUGGUUCAAGUCCACUCAGGCCUACCA